UACAGAGGCCACAAGCGUUAUCCGGAAUCAUUGGGCGUAAAGCGUCCGCAGGCGGGACAGCACGUCUACUGUUAAAGCCCUGGGCCCAACCCAGGAAGUGCAGUGGAUACGGCUGUUCUAGAGGCAGGGAGAGGUAAGCGGAACUCCUGUGGAGCGGUGAAAUGCGUUGAUAUCAGGGGGAACACCAAUUGCGAAGGCAGCUUACUGGUCCUGUCCUGACGCUCAGGGACGACAGCGUGGGUAGCGAAUGGG
rnacentral:misc_RNA from 1 species